UACAGAGGGUGCAAGCGUUGUUCGGAAUCACUGGGCGUAAAGGGCGCGUAGGCGGCUUUAUAAGUCGGGGGUGAAAGCCUGUGGCUCAACCACAGAAUUGCCUUCGAUACUGUAGAGCUUGAGACCGGAAGAGGUAAGUGGAACUGCGAGUGUAGAGGUGAAAUUCGUAGAUAUUCGCAAAAACACCAGUGGCGAAGGCGGCUUACUGGUCCGGUUCUGACGCUGAGGCGCGAAAGCGUGGGGAGCAAACAGG
rnacentral:rRNA from 1 species